UACAGAGGAUGCAAGCGUUAUCCGGAAUGAUUGGGCGUAAAGCGUCUGUAGGUGGCUUUUUAAGUCCGCCGUCAAAUCCCAGGGCUCAACUCUGGACAGGCGGUGGAAACUACCAAGCUGGAGUACGGUAGGGGCAGAGGGAAUUUCCGGUGGAGCGGUGAAAUGCGUAGAUAUCGAGAGGAACACCAGAGGUGAAGACGGGUUGCUGGGCUGACACUGACGCUGAGGCGCGAAAGCCAGGGGAGCAAACGGG
rnacentral:rRNA from 1 species